rnacentral:rRNA from 1 species
GACAUAGGUGGCGAACGUUAUCCGGAUUUAUUGGGCGUAAAGGAUGCGUAGAUGGUGGAAUAAGUUAUUGGUCGAGGUCAAGCUCAACUUGGCGGAAGCUGAUAAUACUGUUCUACUUGAGGGCAGGAGAGGUUGGCGGAAUUCUGUGUGGAGCGGUGAAAUGCGUUGAUCUACAGAGGAACACCAAAAAGGGCGAAGGCAGCCAACUAUUCUGAUCCUGACAUUGAGGCAUGAAAGCGUGGAGAGCAAACCGG